UUAGAGCCUAUGUGCUAAUUACUCUGGAUGGUCCCAGAGACGGAGAUUAUAAAUCCAUUAGCACUGAAACCCUCGUGGUUCCACAGUGCAAACACUGUAAUUUUGUAGUACACCAAAAAACCAAACUUUAAGUACCAGGAGCUAGAUGAAGGGAAACAGAUUUUUCAACAGCGUGUGUACUUCUUAGGAAACCAGCGUGGAAGGAAGCCUAGCGUAUAUCAAUCAGUAGCUAAGCCCAAUACACAGGGAAAAACUAACAGAAAAUUAACUGACAUGGGAAAAUGUUUUAUCAGAAGGGCUUGUGACUGUCAGUGCCCGGAGGGUUUGCCUUAAAAGCAACCUGCUUAUAUUACUGUGUCAACUUAAUGCAACACUGUAAUCAGAAAUGCUCAACACAACGCAAUUUUAAUAUUGUGAGGACUAUUUUCAUGCAAGUUUGGGAAAUAAUUUAGUCUCAUUCCCCAAGUGCCUGUCAAAUAUUCAGGGAGAGAUGCAGCCCUGAGCAACAAAGUGAAUUAGAACGGGACUUAAUACCUGCUUGGCUGAGUUUAAAGAGGGCAACGCAAAAACCCCCAAAACAAAACAAAAAAAAAAACCUAACCGGGGGUUCGUGAAGGCACCUUAAGGUAAUUUAUUUCAGGGAAACCGGGGGGCCAAAGGUGGAAUUCUUGAGAAAUUCAACAAGGAUAAGGGAGCUUUAGGAAUUCUGCACGCAGAUUACCUUUCAUCCCAUCCUCACAUUAUCCGACAACACACUGUAGAAAUAUAGCCCAGCGACAGAAGAGCGAGAUUACUCUCCGACACAGAAGAGUGCAAAACCUUCUUUCUUUUUUUUUUAAGUAUUGCGAUUACUUCUUAAGCGAACAAGAAGCGAGAGACAGACGAGGAGAGAAAAGGAAGAGGGGGGUCAGCACAGCGGAGGAGUGUUUUCCUGUGCGCUUAAUGUUCAGAUUGUCCUGUCACUGCCAUAGCGCUGUAGUGGGUGACGGACUCACCUAUGAGAGUUAGCUCCCAUUUCAAAAUAUUUAUGGCAGAAAAUUUCACAUCAGACAGCAUUUACGAAUCUAAUUAGUUCGCUUCUGGUAACUUUAACACACUGAUGUUUACAUUAUGGGCUAUGGUGCCUUGCAAUGACUGAUGACCUUUGGUGAUACUUUGCUAUAGUUUUCCCAUCCCUUCCUUCUAAUUUGAAUGAGUGGCAUGAUAUAAGCACUGCACUAUUUUCCUCUCAUUUUUCCCUGAAAAAAAAAAAAAUCAACACACAGCAGGGGAUUAAUUAGAAAUGUAGUGUAGCUGAACCAUGAGCGACUGAGCACGCUGCUGCAGUCUAGUUUACAUCAGUACAGAGGAAAUCAUUUCCCAGUAAUUCUCUGAGGCAGUUUGAGUGAGAGGCAUAUUCGUGCAGAUUUACCAACUUUAAAAAUAUUUUGUGCCAUAAAUUGAUCUAUACUGUAUGAGAAAUAUGUCUUAACAUGUAGAUAUUAUCACGUCACACAAUUCUAAGUCGAGCAACUAUUAAAAAUAUUUACAUCAAAAGACACACUAACUCCUUCUUUCUCUCUCACCCACACACACACACACACACAUACGCAUGCUGACGUUUUCAUUUAAAAGGAGUGUGUUUUAGUGUGUGUGAGGGCACAUGUGUGUUAAAAAGACAGCAAAGUGAAGGUGUGAAGAUGGCCUGUGUUUAGUGUCCAGACCUGGCAGAUUGUGACCUUAUCAAUGUGAAACUCUUAAGAUAAAUUAUUCAUAGCACCUGUUUGAUGUCUCCGGCCAAAGAAUGACAAAGGUGUGUGAUUUAAAAUGCAUCUCAAAGCCAUGAAUAUUAGCUACUGCACUACCUGUCUCUCUCUCUCUCCUUUUUUUUUUUUUUUUUAAAGCUGAAUAAAAGAGAAACGGGGAGGAAGGCUGCAUUUUAAACAACAAAAAAAUGAACAAUUUGUUUCCCUAACAGGGGCACAGAAGUGUCUGGAAGUGCAGUCACAUUAAGUGAGUUGCUGCUUCGCUUUAUUUGUAGAUGAAUGAAUAAUAAUAAUAAUAAAAAAUGCUCUCAAACAUGACUGAGUUCCGCCGUUUUCAGUAUGCAAGGCGUAGCUGCCAUCAGCCAAUUGUUUUAAUUUCAUAUGACUCACAGGUGUCUGCUGUUUAUGUGGGUCACUGAAACGGGCCACACACAUUGUCAUUUCCUGCUAUGUCCUCACUUUAAUUUGAAACUUGGAGGAGAGAGUUUGUUUGAGUGAUUCCGUGUGGUUAACCUUGCCCUUUGCAGCUAAGUUUGUGUUGUUUGUCACCUCACAGGCAAAGAGGAACACGGUGGCCUGCUGCCUGGACACACAGUGGGACAUGUUGGUGUGGUGAAGGGCUGACACUCGGAUGAGAUGUAAUUUAUGGCAAGUGUUGUGUGGUCAUAGGACAGUGACAGUGACGCGUCUGCUUAGAAGCACGAGAAUUGCGACCACGAAGAGCGGUAAAUAUAACAUAAAAGGUGAAUUAAUCAUUACUUUGAUUUUAAGGAGCUGCUCUCUUCGAAAUCCAUUGCCCAGUCCUGAUUUGUUCUGUUUCAUUAUGUACAGGAGUGUGUGUUUAUCGAGUACACUCCAAGCUUUUCUACUCAGAAAUGAAUCCAAGCAUCCUGGAACUCAAAUUCUUCUUCAGUGCUUUGUUUUGGAAAAAGUCUUUGGUAUGCUUUUGGGAAACUGGCAGCUAAUCUUUUCAUAGCUAGGGGUCAACAUAACACUCGGUUUUAAUAAAACAAAUAAGACUGGGAUGGAUAUUAAUGAUGAUAUAUACAGAUGUAGUGUGCAUGAGCUUGAAUUAUGUGUGAGAGCAUGCAGAAGGAGAGACACUCUCACACAUUUGUGUGUUUACUUGCCUGUGUGUGUGUGUGUGUGCGGCCGUGAGAUAGCCGAGUCAGUUUCCCUCAGAUGUUGCCUUUAACCUUUAACCCCAGAGCUGAGGUCAAGCCCUGACAAAUGAGAUGGUCGAGUUCUGGCCAGAUCUGCAAACAUUCCACAACAAUCUUCUGUCCUCCUCCUCUCCUCUCCUCAUAUCCGUCAUUCCUCACCCCUUCACUCCUCUCAGUGUGUCUCUUCUACGGCUUCGAGAGCGAGUCAAAGAAUGUUCUCACUGCACACAAACAUGUUUUAUUGUAUUUGCUGUGGGAAUCUUAAAGCACACACACCCUUCAAAUUAAGAAUUACAGCACUGGUUAAAUUUAAUACCUCUGACAUCUGCCGUGUUUACAGAAGGAAGGAAAACAAAAGAGUAUGAUCUGAGAGGAGAAGCUGCGGUAAAGAUUUGGAUAUUACAACCGUGCACUUUGAAAGCACACUGUGUGUGUUUGGAAAGUCUGUCAGUGAUGUCAAGGAUGAGAAAUGUUGCAGUGUGGUUUUUUACACACGCUGCUGGCUCUAGCAUUUCCGGCAACAUUUCUCACACUGCCUCCCUCACACCAUCCGCUCUGCUGCAAUAUCCCCACAUUUUUCCAUCCUUUCGAUUUUUUCCCCUCCACUCCUUGUUUUCCAUCCCUUUACUCCCUUUACCCUUCCUCUUUGCUGCCCCACCCACUCCUAAUCUCAACCUCUCCCUUCCUUCUUCCUUCACCCUCCACAUUCACCCCCCUCCUUUUAUUCCUCCGCCCACAAUAUUUUUUCAGAUUUCUUUCUAACAUGCCGUUCCUCAGAAUGCUACCACCUGUGUCUUGAGGAAGAAAGGAGCCAACCACCCGCAUUCCUUUUACCAGGAGCUGGUAAAGCUACAAAAGUCACUGUUAUAUGAACACACACAGUCACCAUCGAUGACUGUGCAGCCACAAUUGUUGCAAAGGAGCCUCGAGACCAACAAAGCUGGCUGAGACGGUAGCGCCGAAUGGAUCACGCUCUUGAAUUUGAUUUCAUAAUGAUGUAAGAUUACUAAGAGGCAAUGCAACACAGCAAAGAUCUUAAUAAAAAACACAUCAAUCUUG
ensembl:lncRNA